AGAGUUUGAUCCUGGCUCAGGACGAACGCUGGCGGCGUGCUUAACACAUGCAAGUCGAACGAGAAUCACUGGAAGGAGUUUUCGGACAACGGAAGGUGAGGACAGUGGCGGACGGGUGAGUAACGCGUGAGGAACCUGCCUUUCAGAGGGGGACAACAGUUGGAAACGACUGCUAAUACCGCAUGACACAUAGAGAUCGCAUGGUUUUUAUGUCAAAGAUUUAUCGCUGAAAGAUGGCCUCGCGUCUGAUUAGCUAGUUGGUGAGGUAACGGCCCACCAAGGCGACGAUCAGUAGCCGGACUGAGAGGUUGACCGGCCACAUUGGGACUGAGAUACGGCCCAGACUCCUACGGGAGGCAGCAGUGGGGAAUAUUGGGCAAUGGGCGCAAGCCUGACCCAGCAACGCCGCGUGAAGGAAGAAGGCUUUCGGGUUGUAAACUUCUUUUGUCGGGGACGAGUAGAAGACGGUACCUGGCGAAUAAGCCACGGCUAACUACGUGCCAGCAGCCGCGGUAAUACGUAGGUGGCAAGCGUUGUCCGGAUUUACUGGGUGUAAAGGGCGUGUAGCCGGGAAGGCAAGUCAGAUGUGAAAUCCACGGGCUUAACUCGUGAACUGCAUUUGAAACUACUUUUCUUGAGUAUCGGAGAGGCAAUCGGAAUUCCUAGUGUAGCGGUGAAAUGCGUAGAUAUUAGGAGGAACACCAGUGGCGAAGGCGGAUUGCUGGACGACAACUGACGGUGAGGCGCGAAAGCGUGGGGAGCAAACAGGAUUAGAUACCCUGGUAGUCCACGCUGUAAACGAUGAAUACUAGGUGUGCGGGGACUGACCCCCUGCGUGCCGCAGUUAACACAAUAAGUAUUCCACCUGGGGAGUACGAUCGCAAGGUUGAAACUCAAAGGAAUUGACGGGGGCCCGCACAAGCGGUGGAUUAUGUGGUUUAAUUCGACGCAACGCGAAGAACCUUACCAGGGCUUGACAUCCUACUAACGAAGUAGAGAUACAUCAGGUGCCCUUCGGGGAAAGUAGAGACAGGUGGUGCAUGGUUGUCGUCAGCUCGU
rnacentral:rRNA from 1 species